AGCAGUCGCCACGGGAAUACAGAGGGUGCGAGCGUUAAUCGGAUUUACUGGGCGUAAAGCGUGCGUAGGCGGCUUUUUAAGUCGGAUGUGAAAUCCCUGAGCUUAACUUAGGAAUUGCAUUCGAUACUGGGAAGCUAGAGUAUGGGAGAGGAUGGUAGAAUUCCAGGUGUAGCGGUGAAAUGCGUAGAGAUCUGGAGGAAUACCGAUGGCGAAGGCAGCCAUCUGGCCUAAUACUGACGCUGAGGUACGAAAGCAUGGGGAGCAAACGGGAUUAGAUACCCGAGUAGUCCCUGUCUCUUAUAC
rnacentral:rRNA from 1 species